UACGUAGGGUGCGAGCGUUGUCCGGAAUUAUUGGGCGUAAAGAGCUCGUAGGCGGCUUGUCGCGUCGGAUGUGAAAACUCGGGGCUUAACCCCGAGCCUGCAGUCGAUACGGGCAGACUUGAGUACGGCAGGGGAGACUGGAAUUCCUGGUGUAGCGGUGAAAUGCGCAGAUAUCAGGAGGAACACCGGUGGCGAAGGCGGGUCUCUGGGCCGAAACUGACGCUGAGGAGCGAAAGCGUGGGGAGCGAACAGG
rnacentral:rRNA from 1 species